rnacentral:tRNA from 1 species
GGUAGUGUGGCCGAGCAAGAGGCAGUGAGUUGUAGCCUCACUUACUGGGAGUACACCCACGCUACCAAGCC